CAGCCGAUAAUUUUGAUAUAAAACUUAACCUACCAAUCGGUCGUCAAAGUGAAGUGAUUAUUGGCAAUCAAAAUAAAAAAAAAAAGAAGUGUGAGAGUAGAACGAGUGCGGUCACUGGUGUAGGUGGGAAGUUGGGAAGGUAGGAUACAGACGGGAGUAUAAUGUAUAUCUGUAAGCAACGAUAAACCAAUGCUUACGAAAAAACGAUUCUGAGCGGAGUUCAGUAGA